UACGUAGGGUGCGAGCGUUGUCCGGAAUUAUUGGGCGUAAAGAGCUUGUAGGCGGUUUGUCGCGUCUGCUGUGAAAAUCCGGGGCUCAACCCCGGACUUGCAGUGGGUACGGGCAGACUAGAGUGUGGUAGGGGAGACUGGAAUUCCUGGUGUAGCGGUGAAAUGCGCAGAUAUCAGGAGGAACACCGAUGGCGAAGGCAGGUCUCUGGGCCACUACUGACGCUGAGAAGCGAAAAGCAUGAGGAGCGAACAGG
rnacentral:rRNA from 1 species